UGUGAGCGCAAAGAAGAAACUCAGAAGAGGGGAGAGAACUGCACGAUCGGCUGGCUAUCUAGCAGCUGUAAACGCUUUGAGGCAGAGGUUUAAGAGCGAUUUCAGGCUAAAAAUAUACUAUUUUCCUGCUGACACAAUAUAUUUGCCUGCAGUGUAGCGCCGCUGAAUAAAUUGACAAAAACAGCCGUUUUUACAAUAUGGACGACAACGAGGCGAGGCAAAAAACAAGA